rnacentral:tRNA from 1 species
AGCCCUGAGGUGUAAACACGUUUGAUUGCAAAUCUUAAGUAGCAGAUUGACGUCUGCCGGGGCUU